rnacentral:rRNA from 1 species
CCUACGGGUGGCAGCAGUGAGGAAUAUUGGUCAAUGGACGAGAGUCUGAACCAGCCAAGUAGCGUGAAGGAUGACUGCCCUAUGGGUUGUAAACUUCUUUUAUAUGGGAAUAAAAUGUUCCAAGUGUGGGAUUUUGUAUGUACCAUAUGAAUAAGGAUCGGCUAACUCCGUGCCAGCAGCCGCGGUAAUACGGAGGAUACGAGCGUUAUCCGGAUUUAUUGGGUUUAAAGGGAGCGUAGGUGGAUUGUUAAGUCAGUUGUGAAAGUUUGCGGCUCAACCGUAAAAUUGCAGUUGAAACUGGCAGUCUUGAGUACAGUAGAGGUGGGCGGAAUUCGUGGUGUAGCGGUGAAAUGCUUAGAUAUCACGAAGAACUCCGAUUGCGAAGGCAGUUCACUGGACUGCAACUGACACUGAGGCUCGAAAGUGUGGGUAUCAAACAGGAUUAGAUACCCUGGUAGUC